GUUUGUUGGCUGUGCUGUGAAGAGAGAUGGAGUUUGUUGGCUGCCCAUGAGAAAUCACCGAGAAGAAAACUUGGAGUUCAUUGAUACCCAUUGGCUGAAUAAAGAGGAGCUGUAGACCUGUCCCAGUGUUGUCCAGGAUUAGAGGAACUUUGAUACUCAUCCUAGGCAGACUCCUUGAAGAACUGAACUGCUGAGCUCUUUGAAAAAUUCUGCUGGACGCAUAAAAAGCAUUCAACUUUCCUUGAAGGAGUUUAUAUUCUUCCAAGUUAAUCCAAGUGGAGCAGAUCUUAUGAGAUCAGGUGAAACUGGAAGAUCUUGAUGUGUAUUUAACCUAAAUCAGGAUCUCAGAAAGGAAAACCCUUACAUUCUUCAACUUGGAUAUUCUGUUCUGAACCUUGAAACUAUCUUCUAAAAUCAGAAUGAGAGUCCAGCCUACUGCAGAUGAGAUUGAUUGUAAUGAUGGACAUUUUAGGCCCCCUGGAGAGAGAGGGCUGGGAACUGGAGAGAACACACAUCUGGGAAGUUUCUGAGGAGCCUGGGGAAAGCUCAAUAAAGCAACAGGGAAAAAGAAAGACCAGAUGGUGCCCUGACUGCCAGAUUCUGAAAUGGAAGAUUUUCUGUUUAAAUAAAAGUUACACUUUUGUAUCCCAAUAAGAUCCAUGAAGAAGGUACAGGUUGCAGUUACUUGAUACAAAGUAGAUGGAUGUCUUACAUAUUAGUUGUCCCUUUGUCCUUCAUCUUAAGACCUUCAGUGUGGUCACAUUCUUGAGAUGAUUAUGAGGUGUAAAACCAUAAAGAAGUCAUUUAGCCAUUAAAUGUGAGAAGUCGGUACACUAUGAUUUUCUGAUUGAAUUAUGGUCAUAAGUGUACAGGUGACAGUUUUGACAAGUCUGGUAAAUAGAGAAGUAUUAUAAUAUUUUUCAUUUUCUCAUAAACUGUGGAGGUACUUCUUAAAUGUAGUUCCGAUUUCUCUUGGAAUUAUUGUUUAGCUAGACUCAAAAAUAUGUAUUCUGUUUAAAGUUAUAAUAUUAAGGAAGGAAUAAAUUAUGCUUUUAAAUUACAGUAUACCAAGUUUAAAAUCAAUAAUUUAAUUUACAGGUGCCUUUAAGAUGUCUGUGAAAUAUGUGUUUUCCCCUGCAAUUUAAUCUGUAUUUUUAGGAAAUUUUAGAAACAAUCAC